GCCCGGGGAUUCGAUCCAGCAACCUUUCAGGUACUGGCCCAAUGUGUGUGCCUCAUUUAAAAAAAAAAAAAGGUUUUUGUUGUCUGUACAUGGACAGUGAUUCACAGGGUGGAGGUGACAGAGGAGGUAGAACUGAACUGGCCUCGUGGUUUGUGGGUGAGUGUGUCGAAGCUGAGACCAACAAGAGGCACGCUAGAGGUGCCAGCCACAAGGCCCUAACCAAGCCCGACCCAGAUGAGUGCAAUGCUGUUGCUGAAGUGACUGGAAUUCGAAUGGCAUUGACCCCAAUGACACAAUUGUGAACAGACUGUGGUCCACACUGUAGGAACACUAGCCGCUUCAGGCGGAUCAAGUAGAGUCACAUAGAGGACAAAGAGGAGCAGCAAGAAGAAGAGGAGAUGGGGUGUGUCUAUCUACUUACACUGGGCACACACCUGAGAACAGCUCUACAUCUUUACUGAUGACCAACCCAAAGAGGAGAGAAACAACAGGCAUAAUGUAGUUCCAGGGACUACAAUGGGUGCGUUAACAGACCAGCACAGUACAGCUUGGCAUGGAUUGGCUCAGUCGUGAGAAACAGUCCGUCCUGACCUGUUCAUGAGUGACGGGGAUGAGUCU